AGGCUGAAAAGCAAAGUCCAAAUUACUGUUUGUUCCCACUGAACAGUGUUCAGAAACCUGUCGCUUUGAGCAAGGUCCGAGCCUCCUAUCUGUCACGCCAAGAAGGACCUUCGAGCCUUUAAAAGCCUGAGCAGCCCAGAGUGUAGCACUGCCCGGCCAGAGCCUGCGCCCAGACCUGCACCCCCACCCCGACAGCCGGGGUCGUGGUCGGCCUCAGUAGCUGUGGGAGCCACCCCAAGCCACUCGUGCUUGAUGUCUGAGUGUGACGGUGCAGGCCGUGGUCACCGCGAGCCCCCACAUGCAGGUGCUCUAUUCCAGGAGGCCCCGCGGUGACCUUCUCGGGGGGUGACUGACAGGGCCACCUGGGGACCAUUCUCCUUUGCGUUUCUCAAGGUCUCCUCCAGGUUAGGUCACUCAUAAUAAAAACUGGAUUCUACCACAGGAUGCAGAGAAAGCAACAACACCCGUCGGAAUCCCGAAUCGGUCAUUUGGAUUGUCUGAGCACUUCCCUUCCCCAGGCACGCCCUUUUGUGAAUGGCUGCUGGAAAUGGAAUACGGGGGAGGGUUAGAAUGAACGGCCAAAGGGUUUUUCAGGAUUAUCCAGGUUUUCACGUUUCUGAGCUUUUCCUGCUCUGCUUCCAUUUCCUGCACAUAAUUGAGCAUUGCCUGGACCCAGAACACAUGGCUUGCCCAAGGGAAAUCUUUCACGGUCUGGGUCCUUUACGUCUUGGAUGAACGUCAGGAACCCGGGUUUGGGAAAGGCGAUGGAUCCCACAUAAUGGGGACAGGAAGAGGUGUUCUUCCUCUCUCCUUUAUUUCCACUCACAUCCUCCAUCACGGCCACCGCGAACGACCCUGGCCUCUCACAUCCCUGAGAGGUAGUUACGAGGCAAGUACAAGAAACGGCAGUCGUGAUAGGGCUGAACUGGGACAGAAUGAGCAGGAGAAUGUGUGAGAAGGAAAAUCUCUGAGGAUGGCCGCUCAUAAGGAUUUAAUGAGUUGGCUCACUGAGCAAGACUUUUGAUUCAACGCAGCACAUUAGACCUGCACGUCAGGGAAAUAGUUCCACUGAUUGCUAUUUUAGCAUUUCGUUGCAAGAUGUACCGCUCGCAUUAAUUUCCUUCUGGAACCCUCUUGAGAGGGACGCCGUGGCUUCGAGUCAGAGCAGACUGUGGGAAACGGAAGCAGCCAGGGUCUAGGCAGGUGGGGGCUUGGGGUGCUGUGGCUUGGAGGAGCCCAGAACCUUCCAGAAAGAGUUCCAGGAGGCAAGCCUUCCCGAAAGGCUCUCCCUUCACAGAACAAAGACUUCGCCGGGGCUGUGGGCUCGGUGGGCACCUGAGAGGCACCGACGGGGGAGGCACAGGACGGCAGGGCCGAGCACAAGUUUUAGAGUGAGGAGUACUCUCUGCUCUCAGCUGAAAACCGCUGAAAAUGCCCCCAUCACCAGAUGAGAGCUAAGCCCUGCAAAGGAACAGCUAGAUGGCAGAACACGGGUGGGUUUUAUCCCGGAAAGGCUGCCUACACACCCGGGAAGAGAAAACACUCCUCCAGACGCAGGGAUGGGGGUGGCGGCAAAGGAAGAUUAUGGGGCUCGCCCAGACACCCAGAGCAGCGUCUGCAGAGAAAAGAGCAGAGCAGGGAGUUCAAGGCGCCAGCAUCUUGUUUCCCGGAGCAUGUACAUGACAGCCACAGGCUGCUUACUUAUCAGGACGGAAAGCGGGAAGGCCCCCAACAACAGAUGCUUUACUCGUCAUUUCUCUUUUUGGAGAAAAAUGACACUGUGGCACGUAAGGCUGUUCUUUUCCAGUGAUUCUCAAUGCCGAAGGCAAAGCCUGAACCGGCAUUUCCCCGGAUUGGGGGGUCUUAUCCCUCGCACCUUAAAGAUUCCGCUGAGAGAUGACGAGCCCCCGCCCCCGCCCCCCCAACCCGGCCAACAGCUGGAGUAGACAGUCAGUCAAGGUUGAGCGUCAUGGGGAUAAACAGCCACCCCCCCCCCCUUUCCCCUGUGGCCCCCCCCCCCCCCCACCCCACCUGGGAUCAUCCUGUCCUGUCACAGAAUCUGUUGACCGGGCAAUCGCCAGCGCGGGGGUUGCUGUGUCCAGCUGUGUGGGGUGAGGCCAGGGACAGGUCAGAACAGGUUCCAGAAGAAACCUGACACGUGUAUGGCCGUGUGUUAAAGACGCGCACCCACACGCACACAACCAAGGCCGUGGUGCCAACAUAAAGCACCAGCUUCCGUGGCCCUAAAGACAUGCCAAAAUCUCAAUAGAAACCCCACUAGAAAAAUAUUAUUCCUUCUCACGACGGCGAGUAGCUGGUACCUGAGCGCAUCUUCUUUUUAAUGGAAAAGACCUGUAUAUGUGGCUGAGGUUGUAACACCAUACCUCUCGACCCGAGAGCAAAUGUCUGGUCCUGCCCCUGCACCUGACUCCAUCAGAGGGGCCGGGUCUGCACCGCUUCCCGCUUGGCCCUGAGCCACUCUCCGGCAGGGCUCGAUCCCCGCUCCGCAGGGCGGGGACUAGAGUAAGGAGUUUGCCGUUUUCACUACGUGUGCAUUCAUGCACGUGUGUGUGCCAACGUGCGCAGAUGUCCCAGCCUCUGCCUCACAGGGACCCUGCCAUCCCAGCAGACGCCAGCGACCGCAAGGCUGGGUCUCAGUGAUCUUCCGCUCGUCCAAACUCCUGUUGUCCUCGCUGCUGAUACUCUACCUCACGCCGGGCCCAAGGCUUACGCUUUAAGUGGUCCGGCCCAUUUCAGCAUCCUCCGCCAUCGCCUUACAAGGACAAUUUGAGGAUGGCCAGUUGAAGCAAAGGCUGUUUGCACCGUCUUGGAACUCGGCUUUCUUUAUUCACAGAGGCAUCCUCUUGGCUCUGCUCUAGCCCGAAGUUCCUUUAUCCUCCCCUCUAAGCCCCACUUUUGCUCACACUGACUGGACCAGCCCAGCUCUCACCUGCACCCUCGCUCACUGGUUCUCAACUGCAGGCAAUCUGGGCCCCUGGGGGACAUCUGGAGACGUCCUCGUGUGUUACAACCGGGUUGGGGGUGCUGGCGUGCUGUGGUGUCUCGUGGGAAGAAGUCAGGCAGGUUCACGGCCGCGAGGCACGGGCUGGUCCCCACAAGAAGGAACCACGCGGCCCAGACGCUCACAGUACCUCUGCUGAGCCGAGAAGGCUGCUCUUUCGGGGAAACAGGACCGCUGGAGUUCGCGGAUUUUCAGUUUUGGACAAUGGGGUCAUUAUCUGGGAUCCAGCCUUGAUGCAUUUUAGCGAGGGAGACGGCUUUAAGGCUGGGGUCGUUUCUGCAGGACUCACAGUGGGCUCCCCAGAACAACGACUGAUUUGUUCACUUGAGCCCAUUUCCAAACAGGCCCCUGCACUAUGUGUUUACAGAUCAGCACGGCGAAGACCCUUCUGGUACCUUCGCCAUAAACGGAGAGCUUGGAGAACAUAUGCGAACAAUUAAGUGUGAUUUGCAGGCUGGGCUUCCGAUGCUUGCUGAUUAGUCACGGGGCUGCGGAAGGAGCCCCGCCUGUUUGCCUUGGUCGGUAUUCCAGACCCAGAGAGCACGUCCACACGGAGAGCAAAGCACACCUCACGGGCGCUUUCUUCCCUCCGUGCUAUUCGGCCACACGCACUGGCAUCACAGCUGAUUCCAUCACCCCUGGCCACGUUCUCCUGCUAAAGAUUCCCCCCACCCCCCGACAAGAACAAACAAACAUGGUCCAGUUGCCCAGUGAGAGAAAGAUGGGGACGAUUUCCAUUUUUCUGCUGGUUUGUGGAUUACUAAGCGCUUUUCAUCCCAUCAUCUCAUCUCAUUUCCAUGGAUGCCUGCACAAUUUCGAUUAUUAUAACCCUCUUCUGUAAGAGGAAACAGGCCAGCAAGGACGAGAAAGAGGCAGGCGGGAACAAAUGUUCAACAUCUCAUCGUGCUGAGGACGCGUGGGAGCAAAGCCACGGCUCCCCUCCAGCUACCCACCUGGCCAGAAACCCAGACUUGCUUUGAGAGUGUGUAACUGGAAGAUGUGUGUUCGAAUGAACUAACCUCUGUACUCCCCCCACACCUCACCAUCCUGAGGUCAGUCACCAGCCAUUUUCAAAAGUUUAAAUUAGUGUAUACAUUCAGCACACUCGCCGCAUCGAUGGCGUAUUUAUAAUUCCUUCAUGGAUUCUUUACCCAGGAAGCUAGUCUACCGGCUCUGGAAUCAGACCAACCCGUGGUUUGGAUCCCAGCUACCUCCCACCUGGUAAAGAGCGCUCUGAAAGAAAGCAGUGGUGUCCCUCAGCACAUGGAUUCGGCUUUUCAAAUCCCAGGAAGCAAAGUCAACUGACUCCCUCCCCUUGCUCCUCCCCCAGCUCCUCCUCCUGGCCGACCCUCCUCCUCUUCUUUCUAGAAGCUGUUGUUGUCCUUGGUUUCAUUUCUGAGACGCUGCAUUCAUCUCCGGAAGUGUCCUCGGCAUGUGGGCGAUAAUGCCCAAGAGACACGACUGCGGAGUGAGAUGGGCCAUCUUGAUGGACAAACAGGUCGGUUGCAGGGCCACAAUUCAAUACGUUCAGCAAAUCCUCCGGAUUUCAGCAGAGAUAUCCUUUGUAUGGAAAGCUCCACAAACAGCUCUAAACAAAGAAGUUUCCAGACUUUCAAAGCUAUGACAGACGCUUAAAACGGUGCUAACCCUGAGCACAGUUAUAGAGAGAAAUAUACUUUCAAGGCUCCUCUAUUGGAGAACGUGGUAUGUGAAUUCUUCCUUUUAAUUUUGUCUAAGUGUUAAAUAAACAUUUAUCCA